UGCGAGGUGGGGAAGUGGUCAUCCCGUCUGGCUCAUACCCAGAAGAUCGCGCGUUCGAGUCGCGCUCUCGCUACCA
rnacentral:tRNA from 1 species